rnacentral:piRNA from 1 species
UCCAAUCUGGGGGUGAUGAGAGGCAGUGA